ensembl:lncRNA
CGCAGGCUGACAGCUCUUGCCUGUGACAGCUCCAGCUGACACAUAUACAGUGCCAGCCUUCCCAGGCCCUGGGAGAAGCGGGGUGAGCUGGGAUGAGGUGAAGGAAAACCCCGAAGUAAAACAGAGACGAUGGGAGAAUUGGAGGCCGGGGUGAACACCUGAAACUAUGGCAGGCUAACUUGCCAGCUCGCAGAGCACAGUAUCAGACUCUUCAGAGCUCUUGACACCAUGCCAGCACUGAACAGCAAUCACAGCGCAGAGCUCUACAGAAAUGAGGCCGACUUCCUAACUUUCUUCCUCGUGUUGUCAGACCGAGAGUGAUAACUUUGUUACGUGCUCUUGUGGACUCAGCAAGAUUGUACAAAGAACAUUUUGACCAAAAAAAUGAAAAUGAGUAGGAUCCAGGCACUACUUGUUCCUUUCGUAUUACCAUGCAGGGGAAGAAACCGUGUAUUUUCUUUGCCAGUUGCCGUCAGGUUUAUUGGGCUCCGGGUGUGAUUACCCAUGGGAGAGUGUGCCUCUUAAGGACCUUUCCUCAGUGGCCACACAGUGGGUACAACAAAGAACCUGAUUACAGUAAAGAUUGUAUGCAGCACAACUCAGGGUGGCCUAAUUAAAUCUCGUAUCAUGGCUGACAGCUGUGAAUUUGUUUAAAGAAUUUGUUGUGAAAGCUCCUCUGAUGUUUACUAUUGUUACUCAGACUUCAUGCAGUGAGAUUAUAGUUCAGGAGGUCCC